UUUAGUCUAUCCAAAUGUUGCAAUGCCAUGCAACCAAAAUGGACCAUGCCAAACCGGGUCAAGUACAUGCCAGUAAUAGUUAUAGACUUAGACACCUUAUCCAACAUAAGGUUCGCCAAGGAUUGGUUGUUUAUAGUUGGAAGUAUUAAAAUGGAUGGACCAUAUUGACAUAUUUUGAAAAGAGGCAACUCUUGUUCAGAACUGAUAGUCAAAAUGGGAAUAUAGAAAUGUUUUCCAUAUUGGGAGUUAAAUAUUAAUAAUCUAUGAGAAAGUUGGAAACUUUUAUGCAAGAAAGAUGUUCAAAGGAAUGUACUUUGAUUUGAGACUUCACUUGCUUGGAAUUUUCUUGUAACAAUUUCUAGUGGAAAGUUUUGUAAUAUCUUUGGUCAAGUCUUUGUGACUCUUGGUACCUAGACAUUACAAAACAAUAUUGCAUAAUAGUGUACAAUCUAACACAUUCGAGCAGUGACAAGAAUUUGGAAUUCUUACACUUACAAUAAAAAUUUAGAAUUGUGAAAUGAGCUUCAUUGGAAGGUUUUCAAUUGAUCUAUUUCACAAAGUAAGGACCAUAGACAAGCAUAGUGUGCAUGCUUGGAGCAUGGCAUAACUGUUGUUUAGACAAACAUAAUGUGCAUGCUUGGAGCAUGGAAUAACUAUUGUUUUGAUUCAAGUAUUAAGUUGAUAAAUCGAAACAUUAUACAUUGAAUAAUGAGUAAUCAAUAUGGGACUCAAACGUUUUUGGGCCAUAUAGGAUUAGUAUUAUUCGUGUGUUUCACUUUGCAUGUUUUGACUUCCAGAAUAACUAGGUUAUUCUUCCCGAAUGACUAAGUUAUUCAAACCAUCCACAGUUGAUCAUACUUUGGAAGUAGGUAUUGAGGAAAGAUUGUCAUUAAUGGGUCUGUAGUUUGUCUAGGACAUAGAUGUAGUAUUCAUGAGUGCUCCUGAUAUAAGAUUCGAGUAUUGGAUUCAACCCACACUCAUUUGAAUCACUUCAUCGAUUUUAUCAUGAGUGAUCAUGAGAUGAUAAUAUCUUAUAUUCUUGAAACUGAGAGAUAUGAGUUGCAGUUUAUAAGUCGGUUGCGCAUUGAUAAUAUAAAAACGCACCGGUAACUCGGUGUUAUAAAACAUAUUCUUGUGUGUGAUUUGAUGAGUAGAUAGAGCAAACAUGUGAGUUGAAGUUUAUCCAUUCCUUCUACCCUUAGAGGGAUAAAAGAGAUAUAUGUGGGCCCCUCGAUUAUUUAGUGAUGACACCCCUAAGUGUUUGGCCAAGCCUGGACUGAUUUGAAUUGUUCAAUUAGUCAGUUGUCAUAAAUUGGAAAUCGGGAAACAAAAGAUGGAAAAAGAGAAUGAUUAAAAUCCAUGUAUCGGUUCAUAUGAUAUCUAGAAUGGAGGAAUAUAUGAUCCCUUAUCUAAUGGAUGCAUCAUUGACUAGGUCAUAGUUCGACAAUGGCUUUUAAAAGCUACGAUUGCUAGUCGAGUUGUGGAGUCAUACCUGCAAUAAUAGACUUAUCCAAGUGGGAGACUGUUGGAUUAGAUUCUAAGUCCAUAACUAUAUUUGGUAUGUACUAGACCCGAGAGUAGCAUGGUCCAUUUGGGUUGCAUGGUGUGACAACCCGAACCUUUUUCAGUCAACGAAAGUCAUUUUCCGUUAAAAAAAAUUUGAAUUUUAUUUAUUUUCUCAAUAUUGUAAGGGUUGUAAACAACUUAGAUCCUAUAAAUUGAAUUUAUAUAAGUGUCGGGUCUAAAAUUGUGCGAAAAAUCAAGUUCCUCUUCAAAAAUCAUCCAAGUCUCGAGCAGCCUGGUGUUCAUAGCCGUAAACUGUUUAUGGCGGUAAACCGUGCACGACUGGAUGGACCCCACCACCGACCAUGAACCCCAUCCUAUAUAUACGUGUUUUCACCUUCAUUAACACUUUUCUAGCCGAAAACACUACUUUAUCUCUCUAAAAUCCUCAACCAAAAACUCAAGUUUUCUCUUCAUCUACCACUCAAUCCACCUUGGAACUUGUUAGGGAGCAUCAAGCAUUCAUCCUUUAAUCAAAUCAAACAUUCCUCAUUCUUGAGUUCACGGCCGUGAAACCUUCAAAUCUUCAAAUCUUCAAAGGCCGAAAUCAGUUCACGAUCGUAAACCCUUCAAAUCUGCAUAUUUCACCAAGAACACCAAGAACAUGCCAUAAACCAUUCAACGACCGUAAACCCUUCAAGGGCAGGGAACCAUUCACGACCGAGAAUAGUUCAUAGCCAUAGUCCUUUCACGGCCGCAAUCAGCCCCAAUCGGAAUCUUGGCUGCAAACCCACUUUUUCCACAUCGAUUGAGUCUUUGUAACAUUCCUUAACCAAAAUCAAGUGUUUUUCUAACACUUUAACUAAUGGACUAUCUAAUUUAAAUGCAAAUAUUUGUUUAAUUAUUAUUAGGAUUCCGUUAAUUUCGCGUGCAACAAACUCGAGGGUCUUUAUUUCGAGUCUCGUUGUCCGGAACAUACAUGCAACCAACUGUGAGUUCAUACCCCUACGCUUUUACUAUUUUAACAUUUUCAGGGGGGGAAUACAAGCCAAACACAAACAGUUUUUGUGAAUUUUAUACAUAGAAAUUCAUCAGGAUUAAAACUUAUGUAAUUGAUACAACCAAAAGAUCACCACAUUUUAUAAAAUAUUUAGAUAUUUUAUCCCUUUUGUGACAUGCUGAGCAUAAGGGAAGUUUUCAACUCACAACUAUAAUUACAUAGUUUUCAGAACAAUACACAAACCGAGUACUUAACACACAUGCAAACUAUAAUAGGUAUAGUUUUGGAUUUCAAUACACAGUUUUAUCAUCUCAGGUUUAUACAUUAACAAUCAUUUAAACUAUAAUAGAUAUAGUUUAUGGUAUACAUUACUACUUUCUGAAUACAAGAGUACCACACUAAAUAAUUAUUUAAUUAUAAUUAUUAUUACUCUGUAAAGUAUACAUACGGUUUCAAGUACAUGAGAACGAUACAAAACUACACGUAAAGUAGUUAAUACAGGGUUGUGUGGCACUACUUCAAUUUGUACCCUUCGGGGUACGGAACUAAAUCCUGACACAGUAUAACCAGAGUCUCUUGGAGGGAGAGCGUGAGAUUUGUGAAUACAUCUAUUCGGAACUGAUAAUCUGACACCUGAACUGCUAGCUACAGUUAGGCAGGCAUGCCUGAAGUGACAAAUGUCAUAACAUCUGAUACUUGAAGAACGCCGUAGGGGUCACUAGGUCAUAUCAAUCGUGGUUAUACGAAUCACAAUAGUAUAAACUAACCUUUGUUUACGGGAAUUCAUUUUUCAUUAGUUUUAUUUUAAUAGAACUACUACGGAUCAUACUAGUGGUAACCAGGUUUUCAAACAAAAUAUUCUAUACGUACUGGUGAUAGCCAUGGUUUUCAUUCAAAACAACAUUAUAAUAUACAUCUAGUGGUAACUAGACAUAGGAACUUUAUGGAACAUCGUAACGAACACAUAUGUUAGAAAAUAUUGGAUUUUCUUGAGAACAUGUAAACAUUUUACAGAUUCAGACAGGUUUUCAUUACAAAAAUAUGCUUAUGAACUCACCAGCUUAAAGCUGUUACUCUUUUCAAAAUCGGUUGUAUUCUUAGGAAAUCAGUAGACAGGUACUCCCGCAGCUUUUGAGAAGACGGAGCAUAUAGAGUCACCUAUUUUAUAUUUUGCUGUACUUUCGAUGUAUACAAACUAUGUAUCAAACAGAUGUAAAUAUUUUACUUAUUCAAUGUAAUGGUUGUGUUUACAUUGAUUACUAUGAUGCAAUUGUUGUGAUACUAUACAUGACGUACUCUAAACCUGAACGUUUUCGCCGUAUCGGUUUGGGGGUGUGACACAUGGCAUCUGAACAAUCUGGAGGAUGGAUAAUUGAGAAGAAGUUAUUUAUGAUUUAUUAAUAUAUUAUAAGUUCUAAAAAAUUAAUAUGAAAUCACAUUAUUUAAUUAGUAUUGAUCAAGAAUUAAUUUGGAAUUAAUUUUGUGAUCAAUAGAGACUAAAUAAAUAUAUGAGGAUUGAUUAUGUAGAUCAUUCAUUCUUAUAAUGUGGGCUUAUGAUCGAUAAUUCCUUAUGUUGGGCUAAGCCCAUGUGGUGACCCAUGGAUGAUCCAUGGAGGUUUAAACACAUGGAGCAUGAGGAAUAUGGAAGGUCAUGCACAUUAGGGUUUACAAGGUGUAACCCUAAUCAAUCCACACUAUAUAAGAACCCUUCUAGCUCAUGAAAUUAGCACUAGUGAGACACAAAGAGGGCUAGCUGAUUUCAUGGAGUGCAAGUGAUCUCCUCUCAAGUUCCUCCAUUGUUGGUGGUAUUGUGUGAUUCCAUUUGAGGUGCAACAAUUGGGGCACUAAGUUCUUAAAGGCCAAAUACACCAAGGAUAGAAAGCUACUACAAAGAGGUAUGUCAUCUAACUCAUUUCUAUGUUGAAUAUGUCAAAUGCAUGAUAGUUGUAGGCUUAAUGUCUUGGGAACAAUAUUGCAUGUAUAAUUAGUGAAAACAUAGAUCCAAGGCAUUUAGGGUUGUAUGUACACCAUAGGAUAUUGUAAUAUACCAAAACCCAUCACUUUUGAGAAGAGGUUAUUUAUGAUUUAUUAAUAUAUUAUAAGUUCUAAUAUACUAAUAUGAAAUCAUAUGAUUUAAUUAGUAUUGAUCAAGAAUUAGUUUGGAAUUAAUUUAGUGAUCAAAAGAUACUAAUUAAAUUAAUGGGGACUAAUUGUGUAAAUUAGUUUUAUAUAUAGUUUGGGCUUAUGAUACUUGAUGGACUAAUUUUAUGGAGGAAUCCAUAAAGAGUUAUCCCACUUGAAUCAUGGAUCAUGGAUAAUAAGCCCAAGGGUAUGGAUUAAGGUUUACCAUAAUCCUAUACUAUAUAUACAAUGAGCUAUAGCUAAAAUCGGCAAUGCAUAUGAUCUUGGAGUUCAUAGAGCCGGUAAUGAAGCUAGCAUUCUCUCUCAAAAGUUAUCCUUUGUCCAAGGUAUGUUGUGAUUCCAUUUGAGGUGCAACAUUUGGGGCACUAAGUUCUUAAAGGCCAAAACUACAAGCUACAACCAAGAGGUAAUUCUAUAACUCAUUUUCAUGUUGUUCAUGUCAAUUGUAUGCUAGUUGUAAUCUUAUAUCUUCGGAAACAAUAUUGCAUGUAUAAUAAUAGAAAACAUAGAUCCAAAGCUUUUAGGGUCGUAUGUGCACCAUAGGAUGUUGUGGUAUACCAAAACCCAACAAUACCUUCUUUUAGCUGAGUUCUCCUACAAUAAUAACUAUCACACCAAUAUUGAUAUGCCUCCUUUCGAGUUGCUCUACAUAAGGAAGUGUCGGACCCUGAUUUAAUGGGGUGAGGUUGGACAACGAGUGAUGGGGAGUACUGAGCUAGUUCCAGGUAGUUUGCAGACUACAUAGAUCCGUUAGAAUUGUUACGCAGACCGUAUUCGUUUUGAUCUCGAGUUCCAGGUAGGAGAUUACGNNNNNNNNNNNNNNNNNNNNNNNNNNNNNNNNNNNNNNNNNNNNNNNNNNNNNNNNNNNNNNNNNNNNNNNNNNNNNNNNNNNNNNNNNNNNNNNNNNNNUGUUUGGCUUGUAUUCCCCCCUGAAAAUGUUAAAAUAGUAAAAGCGUAGGGGUAUGAACUCAAAUUUGGUUGCAUGUAUGUGCCGGACAACGAGACUCGAAAUAAAGACCCUCGAGUUUGUUGCACGUGAAAUUAACUGAAUCCUAAUAAUAAUUAAACAAAUAUUUGCAUUUAAAUUAGAUAAUCCAUUAGUUAAAGUGUUAGAAAAACACUUGAUUUUUGUUAAGGAAUGUUACAAAGACUCAAUCGAUNACUCAAUCGAGUGGAAAAAGUGGGUUUGCAGCCAAGAUUCCGAUUGGGGCUGAUUGCGGCCGUGAAAGGACUAUGGUUGUGAACUAUUCUCGGUCAUGAAUGGUUCCCUGCCUUUGAAGGGUUUACGGCCUUUGAAUGGUUUAUGGCAUGUUCUUGGUGUUCUUGGUGAAAUAUGCAUAUUUGAAGGGUUUACAGUCGUGAACUGAUUUCGGCCUUUGAAGAUUUGAGGAUUUGAAGGUUUCACGGCCGUGAACUCAAGAACGAGGAAUGUUUGAUUUGAUGAAAGGAUGAAUGCUUGAUGCUCCCUAACAAGUUCCAAGGUGGAUUGAGUGGUAGAUGAAGAGAAAACUUGAGUUUUUGGUUGAGGAUUUUAGAGAGAGAAAGUAGUGUUUUCGGCUAGAAAAGUGUUAAUGAAGGUGAAAACACGUAUAUAUAGGUUGGGGUUCAUGGUCGGUGCUGGGGUCCACCCAUCCGUGCACGGUUUACCGCCAUAAACAGUUUACGGCUGUGAACACCAGGCUGCUUGAGACUUGGAUGAUUUUUGAAGAGGAACUUGAUUUUUCGCACAAUUUUAGACCCGACACUUAUAUAAAUUCAAUUUAUAGGAUCUAAGUUGUUUACAACCCUUACAAUAUUGAGAAAAUAAAUAAAAUUCGAUUUUUUUUUAACGGAAAAUGACUUUCGUUGACUGAAAAAGGUUCGGGUUGUCACACCAUGCAACUCAAAUGGACCAUGCUACUCUCGGGUCCAGUACAUACCAAAUAUAGUUAUGGACUUAGACACUAAUCCAACAGUCUCCCACUUGGAUAAGUCUAUUAUUGCAGGUAUGACUCCUCAACUCGACUAGCAAUCAUAGCUUUUAAAAGCCACUGUCGAACUCUGACCUAGUCAAUGACGCAUCCAUNNNNNNNNNNNNNNNNNNNNNNNNNNNNNNNNNNNNNNNNNNNNNNNNNNNNNNNNNNNNNNNNNNNNNNNNNNNNNNNNNNNNNNNNNNNNNNNNNNNNUAAUAUCUUAUAUUCUUGAAACUGAGAGAUAUGAGUUGUAGUUUAUAAGUCGGUUGCACAUUGAUAAAAUAAAAAUGCACCGGUAACUCGGUGUUAUAAAACAUAUUCUUGUGUGUGAUUUGAUGAGUAGAUAGAGCAAACAUGUGAGUUGAAGUUUAUCCAUUCCUUUUACCCUUAGAGGUAUAAAAGAGAUAUAUGUGGGCCCCUCGAUGACAUAGUGAUGACACCCCUAAGUGUUUGGCCAAGCCUGGACUGAUUUGAAUUGUUCAAUUAGUCAGUUGUCAUAAAUUGGAAAUCGGGAAACAAUAGAUGGAUAGAGAGAAUGAUUAAAAUCCAUGUAUCGGUUCAUAUGAUAUCUAGAAUG
rnacentral:lncRNA from 1 species